AUUGAACGCUGGCGGCGUGCCUUACACAUGCAAGUCGAACGGUAACAGGUUAAGCUGACGAGUGGCGAACGGGUGAGUAAUAUAUCGGAACGUGCCCAGUCGUGGGGGAUAACUGCUCGAAAGAGCAGCUAAUACCGCAUACGACCUGAGGGUGAAAGCGGGGGAUCGCAAGACCUCGCGCGAUUGGAGCGGCCGAUAUCAGAUUAGGUAGUUGGUGGGUAAAGGCUCACCAAGCCAACGAUCUGUAGCUGGUCUGAGAGGACGACCAGCCACACUGGGACUGAGACACGGCCCAGACUCCUACGGGAGGCAGCAGUGGGGAAUUUUGGACAAUGGACGCAAGUCUGAUCCAGCCAUGCCGCGUGCGGGAAGAAGGCCUUCGGGUUGUAAACCGCUUUUGUCAGGGAAGAAAAGGUUCUGGUUAAUACCUGGGACUCAUGACGGUACCUGAAGAAUAAGCACCGGCUAACUACGUGCCAGCCGCCGCGGUAACAC
rnacentral:rRNA from 1 species